rnacentral:rRNA from 1 species
CGCGAAUAGCUCAUUACCACAGCCAUCGUUUAUUAGAAUAUCGUUAUCCUACUUGGAUAACUGUAGCAAUUCUAGAGCUAAUACAUGCAAUCAAGCUCCGCCCGCAAGGAACGAGCGCAUUUAUUAGAAUAUAAACCAAUCGCGUUUCGGCUCGUAAUUUGGUGAAUCUGAAUAACUUUGCCAAUCGCACAGUCCUAGUACUGGCGAUGUAUCUGUCAAGAGUCUGCCUUAUCAACUUUCGAUGGUACGCUAUACGCCUACCAUGGUAGUAACGGGUAACGGAGAAUAAGGGUUCGACUCCGGAGAGGGAGCCUGAGAAACGGCUACCACAUCCAAGGAAGGCAGCAGGCGCGCAAAUUACCCACUUCCAGAACGGAGAGGUAGUGACGAAAAAUAACGAGACAGUCCUCUUCGAGGUCUGUCAUCGGAAUGGGUACAAUUUAAAUCCUUUCAUCGAGGAUCUAUUGGAGGGCAAGUCUGGUGCCAGCAGCCGCGGUAAUUCCAGCU